GCAUAUMARUAAGCGGAGGAAAAGAAACUAAAUAGGAUUCCCUUAGUAAUGGCGAAUGAACAGGGACAAGCUCGGCAUGGAAAUUGGGGCCUCUGGCCUUGAAUUGUAGCCUCGAGAAGUGUCUCCAACAGAGGCGCAGAUGUAAGCCUCUUGGAAAAGAGCAUCAUUGUGGGUGAGAAUCCUGUGUGUCAUCUGCAGCCCUUUGUGUACGGUAUGCUUUCUCAGAGUCACGUUCCUCGGAAUUGGAGCGCAAAGUGGGUGGUAAAUUUCAUCUAAAGCUAAAUAAUGGCUUGAGACCGAUAGCAAACAAGUACCAUGAGGGAAAGGUGAAAAGGACUUUGAAAAGAGAGUUAAAAGUGCCUGAAAUUGCUGAAAGGGAAGCGAAUGGAACCAGUCAUCUUGGCAAGACUGCUUCAUGUCAGUGUGAUGGCUUGCUGUCGCAACGCAAGUGCGGCAGCUGGCUUUGAGCAUGACCUGUGGAGUGUUUCUUGCCUGGUGUGUCAGCAUCUGUCCAUGCUUGACGAAGACUCCAAGGACAUGGUAGCUUGCCUGUGGGUGGGUGAAUGUGCUUGGUAGGACCCAAGUUUGGAUUGAGAGCUGCAUAUUUUGAGCUGCAUGCUUUGCGCUUGUCGUUUGGCACCUCCUGAUUUGCAAUGCUGACUAAAUGGUUCUCUUCRACCCGUCUUGAAAC
rnacentral:rRNA from 1 species